CCCAAAUUUUUAACCCUAACCCACCCCCUCUCUCUCUGUGAACUAAUCCCGCCGUCGACCCAUUCGCCAUUGCCUUCGCCUCCUGUCGUCACCAUCGUCGCUACUUCUGCUUUCGUCUCCGGUCGUUGCCGCUGCUUUCGCCUCCAUUCGCCACCGCAACCAUUGUCGCUGCCAGCUUGAUCGGGAUCCGUCUCCGCCUUCACCGCUGUGAGAUUCGCUUCCGCCGCCUCAAAGUGGGUGCCACCAAGUCUAAGUGUCCCAAUACUAGAUUUGGUAGAUGUUGUUUUCCAGCUGCAAGAUGGGGGUUGGAUCAGGCGGAAGGCUUUCUGGGUGGCCAAACAGGUAUUACGGUUGGGAAUGGGUGAUGCCAUUGAUGAUUGGUUAAUUGAGAAAAUCCAACUUUUACGUAGGGGAACAGUGGUUGCUCAGGAAUCAGGCGAAUUGAGCAGGGAAACUUGUACUUGCGGAAAUCUUAAUAAUGGAAGUGUGGGGUGCUUAUUAUUUUCUCUCUGAUUCACAUUAGAUGCUUUGGCCUAAUGGAAUAUUCAUAACAAAACAUCCAAGGCGACAACGACCAACUGCCUCUGGAAAGACACCCCUACGUUCAACUGAUGGCCAACCCCCCAUAUCUGUAUCCUCACCUAAGAAAAUUGAGGAUGUCCACCAAUGGAAAAGCAACAACUAAAGGAAGCUGAGCGUCGUGCAAAAUUUGUAUAUGAACUAAUGAUUGAUAAUGCGCCAGCUGCUAUUGUGAGUCUUUUCGGUCGAAAAGAGCGUGAACAAUGUGCUAAGGAUCUCUACUACUUUAUUCAGGUGAUGUCAUUGUGAAAUGAUCUACCUAGAAUCGUGUCAUCACACUGGUUAUUGAUUGCCUGACCUAUGAACAUGUGAUCUUGAAAAAUGUCCCACCAAUUUAACAGAACAAAUUCUCUUUGCUUUUUCUUUAUUUAUUUCUAUGUUCCAAGUGGCUUAUUCUUGUGGCUUGAACUCAUUAAAAGUUUGAUCCCAAGCAAAUUUAUGCUAUGGUGGAAGAUAAUUGCAGGCAGGCCAGAAAAUCCAACAUGCAGUCAUUUACACUCCUACUGUUUACCUUUCAUCUAAAUGAAAAAUAACUUUCUCCUCUGUUCA